AUUUGAGGCAGAUUACUGUAACGCUAUUGUACAACAACUUCCUGCCUCUUUUGGCUCUGGUUCUAAAAACUGCAAAGGCAGACCUCGUGGCUUUAACUUUUUCCCCUCGGCCUUGAACUAGGAGCUCUAUAAGGGAAGAAAAGGAGGAAGGAGAUAUAUAAAGUGUAUCUAUUACUGAGGAGCUAUUUUUGUUUUUGUUUUUUUCUAAUUUCAUUUCUGCUUUAUAAACUGCUGACAAUUAAAGAGGGGACUUCAUGCCUAGCAGAGACAAUGAGAGAAAAAAAGGACUCUGAAAGAAGGAGAGGAGGAAGAGAGACACAGAGAGAAAAGAGCAAGGGAGAGCUUCUCCUGGGAACAAGCUGGAAAUUAUGGACCUAUUCGAUAUCAGACCUCAGAGUGGACAACCUAUCCUAUGAGGGACGCGCCCUAACUGUAACUAACAACUACUUCUGGCAGCCCUUCAACAACCAGACAUAUUGUCCUGGAUCAGGGCCGUUUUCAAAAGGCAGCAAUGAACAAGGGCAGCUUAGGCAAGAAAUCAACAUCAAACUACAGCCUCAAUAAUCUAAAUUAAUGCUGUUUUUUUUACCUAAGAAAAAUACUGAGUUGUAAACUAUGAUCCCACCAAGACAGGGAUUAUCAAACUUAACCUGCUGAGGUGAUACAUACUACAAAAAAAAAAAAAAAAA